rnacentral:rRNA from 1 species
AUACGGAGGGGGUUAGCGUUGUUCGGAAUUACUGGGCGUAAAGCGUACGUAGGCGGACUGGAAAGUUGGGGGUGAAAUCCCGGGGCUCAACCCCGGAACUGCCUCCAAAACUUCCAAUCUAGAGAUCGAGAGAGGUGAGUGGAAUUCCAAGUGUAGAGGUGAAAUUCGUAGAUAUUUGGAGGAACACCAGUGGCGAAGGCGGCUCACUGGCUCGAUACUGACGCUGAGGUACGAAAGCGUGGGGAGCAAACAGGAUUAGAAACCCUUGUAGUCC